rnacentral:rRNA from 1 species
CCUACGGGAGGCAGCAGUAGGGAAUCUUCCACAAUGGACGAAAGUCUGAUGGAGCAACGCCGCGUGAGUGAAGAAGGGUUUCGGCUCGUAAAGCUCUGUUGGUAGUGAAGAAAAUGAGAGGUAGUAACUGUCCUUUAUUUGACGGUAAUUACUUAGAAAGUCACGGCUAACUACGUGCCAGCAGCCGCGGUAAUACGUAGGUGGCAAGCGUUGUCCGGAUUUAUUGGGCGUAAAGCGAGUGCAGGCGGUUCAAUAAGUCUGAUGUGAAAGCCUUCGGCUCAACCGGAGAAUUGCAUUAGAAACUGUUGAACUUGAGUGCAGAAGAGGAGAGUGGAACUCCAUGUGUAGCGGUGGAAUGCGUAGAUAUAUGGAAGAACACCAGUGGCGAAGGCGGCUUUCUGGUCUGCAACUGACGCUGAGGCUCGAAAGCAUGGGGAGCGAACAGGAUUAGAUACCCGAGUAGUC